rnacentral:tRNA from 1 species
GGGGUUAUAGCUCAGCUGGUUAGAGUGUCACGUUGACAUCGUGAAGGUCGAUGGUUCGAGUCCAUUUAACCCCACCA